rnacentral:rRNA from 1 species
UACGGAGGGUCCAAGCGUUAUCCGGAAUUACUGGGCGUAAAGAGUUGCGUAGGUGGCAUUGUAAGUAGAUAGUGAAAGUUCGGGGCUCAACCCCGUAUCCAUUAUCUAAACUGCAAAGCUAGAGGGCGAGAGAGGUAACUAGAAUUCCUUGUGUAGGAGUGAAAUCCGUAGAUAUAAGGAGGAAUACCGAUGGCGUAGGCAGGUUACUGGCUCGUCCCUGACACUAAGGCACGAAAGCGUGGGGAGCAAACGGG